GCGGUCGUUGUUGUCUUCUUGCAGGUUCCCAUUGCGAGAGGAGUUCGCCAACAACAUCGAGCAGCCAGAUCCGGUUCCUAUGGCCUUCUUGCCCAACAACGAAGCUGGUCUUGCCGUUCAUGAAGACUCGAAUGCUGGGUCUGGGUGCGCUAAGCAGCUUGGCGGCGAUGGGACUGGCAGAGAAGGAGUUAGUGUCCACCGGCGUCGGGAUGCAUCUCCGACGAGGUCGGCGCAGUCGACCGACCGAGUCAUUCUGGAGGCACCUAGAUGGACGAAAAGGCCUACACCCAAACCCUCCCAUUCUUGUGCUGUAAAUUUUCAACUGUGACUGUCUUCGUCUCCUCUGUGCAUCAUUUUGUCAAAAAACUGGUUUGCUUUAGCAAAAAUCCUUAAUAUUUUUUUGUCAUAUCUAAAUGGCCCUAUCUAAAUAGUAAGCCGUGGCAUUGCAGCCCUUGCUUAGAGGUGCCUUCUUUUAAAGUCAGGAUCGCGUUCACCAUCUUUUGAGAAAUUAGUGUUGCAGAUUAACUCGAUGUCUGGAUCAAUGUAAAUUAUGUUGUAAGAAGAGGACGAUGCUAGUGUUGGAACAUCAGCCCAGGUGGGGGUGCGGAUGGAGCGAGGUGGAGGAUCAGGAUCAGAGGCAAGGGAUCUGGCCAGAAAACAUGGCCUGAGCAGGGGCUUGUGCGGAUAGCUUGGGAUUGCCGAAUACCUUGCUAAGUGCGGGAUUCGGUAUGAGGUGAUUCUCAGAAGGACGAAACAGCUAUGGCGAGUGGUUCAGGGAAUCCACCAGUUGAUCCUUCAGUAACGAGUGAGUGUGGGGAGAAGUUCCCUCCGCCAGUCGGUCUAAACCAUGAUGAGCCGUCAAUUAGGGAUGUUUUGUGGUUCUACGACAACAUGAUGGGCUGUUCGGACGGGAAGCUGCCGAAAUAAGGCGUCUAUCUUGUAAGUCUAAUCGCAAGGAACUUAUUGAUAUUUGUACUUAUGAGCUGUUUUGUGAUUUUUUCAUCAGAAAUUGGGUUAGCCACUUCAAUCCAAUUGCGGUGGUGUUGUCAGGACCAGGACCUUAAGGAUGAGCUUGGGCCUAGAGGUGAGAUUACAGUGGAUGGCUGCAGGGGCAUCCAUCAAAUGUUAACUGCGAAAGAGUUGAUGAUAUAUACCAUGGAUGGCUAGCAAGAUGGAGAGAGAUUUUGGAUCCCUGCUUUGUGGUAACUAUCUCUUUCAUCAACAUUUGGUUUGUAG
rnacentral:lncRNA from 1 species